rnacentral:lncRNA from 1 species
AAAAAAAAAGAAACACACAACCAGAUACCAAAACUGCAGCUUUAUACCAAUUUCAAUAAACACACUCAAAAGCCUUAUCCUAACAUUACAUCAGCCACCUUGUCUUUAAGCAAAGUCAUCUGUUUCUAGCAAAAGGGAAUAGAAGAAUAACAAAAUCAGACAAGACAAUCUAUUCCAAAAAGAAGGCUAUUGUACGUGAGCAUAUAUCCAACAUAUUCAUCAACUUGUUGUUUCAUCCAGACCAAAGACACUGCAAAUAGGUAAAAAAUUAACAUAAGUCGAUCUUAAUAUCUUAUUGUUGUGGGACUAUCCUUUGCAUUUGUUUUUGUUUACACACUGCCAUAUGCAUAACCCACAAUAGUUUUGGUCUGCCUGGAGAUUUUGUGGUUUCCCUGUGCAGGUUGGGUCUUAUCACCGCUUUAUUUUGAGGCACCACAGGACCAGACUGCCUUCCAUGGCAGUCUACGUUUUCUUCCUUUCUCUAAACAUAUUCUUUCCUUCUUAUCUUUUUAUCUAUUUGUUUCUAUUCUUAUCCCUUUUUAUUCUUAUUAUCAUAG